rnacentral:rRNA from 1 species
GUCCACGCCGUAAACGAUGAGUGCUAGGUGUCGCGGGUAUUGACCCCUGCGGUACCGAAGCUAACGCAUUAAGCACUCCGCCUGGGGAGUACGGUCGCAAGACUAAAACUCAAAGGAAUUGACGGGGGCCCCGCACAAGCGGUGGAGUAUGUGGUUUAAUUCGACGCAACGCGAAGAACCUUACCUGGGCUCGAAGGCUAGAUAGUAUUGAACCGAAAGGGGAUAGAUCCCGCAAGGGAAGUCUGGUCAGGUGCUGCAUGGCUGUCGU